UCCUCCGUAGCUCAAUGGCAGAGCAUUCGGCUGUUAACCGAAAGGUUACUGGUUCGAGUCCAGUCGGGGGAG
rnacentral:tRNA from 1 species